GUGCCCUUGGUGUAACGGUAACACACAUCUCACUGCUCUUUUGAAUAAUCGAGAAGUUCCGGGUUCGACUCCCGGAGGGCGCC